UUGUGUCUGCACCACCACGGUCUCUGGCAACAACAGGGUGAUCGUCCCAUUUCUCAUAUUGAACACACCAGAAUCAUGGAGAGGAUUUACAGUGGGAGUUGACUCGUCAUAGUGAGAAAUGAGGUAGACACAAUCCUCCUGAACCCCACAUUCAGCAGCAGGAAGGGACUCGGAGCAUUCACCAACAAAGAGUGCUUGGCCUCCCAAGGUACUGACACUUCUCCACUUCCG
rnacentral:lncRNA from 1 species